rnacentral:rRNA from 1 species
GAUGAACGCUGGCGGCGUGCCUAAUACAUGCAAGUAGAACGCUGAAGGAAGGAGCUUGCUCUUUCCGGAUGAGUUGCGAACGGGUGAGUAACGCGUGGGUAACCUGCCUGGUAGCGGGGGAUAACUAUUGGAAACGAUAGCUAAUACCGCAUAACAGUAGAUGUUGCAUGAUAUCUACUUAAAAGGUGCAAUUGCACCACUACCAGAUGGACCUGCGUUGUAUUAGCUAGUUGGUGAGGUAACGGCUCACCAAGGCGACGAUACAUAGCCGACCUGAGAGGGUGAUCGGCCACACUGGGACUGAGACACGGCCCAGACUCCUACGGGAGGAAGCAGUAGGGAAUAUUCGGCAAUGGACGGAAGUCUGACCGAGCAACGCCGCGUGAGUGAAGAAGGUUUUCGGAUCGUAAAGCUCUGUUGUAAGAGAAGAACGAGGGUGAGAGUGGAAAGUUCACACUGUGACGGUAUCUUACCAGAAAGGGACGGCUAACUACGUG